GACGAACGCUGGCGGCGUGCUUGACACAUGCAAGUCGAACGGAAAGGCCUGCUUUCCCUUGUGGAUUGCGGGUACUCGAGUGGCGAACGGGUGAGUAACACGUGAGUGAUCUGCCCCCAACUUGGGUAUAAGCCUGGGAAACUGGGUCUAAUUCCCGAUAGGACUGCAGGGUGGUGCCUGUGGUGGAAAACGAUUUUCUAGUGGUUGGGGAUGAGCUCGCGGCCUAUCAGCUUGUUGGUGGGGUAAUGGCCUACCAAGGCGGCGACGGGUAGCCGGCUUGAGAGGGUGGACGGCCACAUUGGGACUGAGAUACGGCCCAGACUCCUACGGGAGGCAGCAGUGGGGAAUAUUGCACAAUGGGCGGAAGCCUGAUGCAGCGACGCCGCGUGGGGGAUGACGGCCUUCGGGUUGUAAACUCCUUUCGACCGCGAGGAAGCCACCUGGUUGGAAGGGUGGUGACGGUAGUGGUAGAAGAAGCACCGGCUAACUACGUG
rnacentral:rRNA from 1 species